rnacentral:tRNA from 1 species
GGCGGGAUGGCAGAGUGGUAAUGCAGCGGCCUGCAAAGCCGUCAACGUCGGUUCAAUUCCGGCUCCCGCCUCCA